UCCUUUAAAGAAAGCGUAAUAGCUCACUAGUCGAAUCGGCCUGCGCGGAAGAUAUAACGGGGCUCAAACUAUACACCGAAGCUACGGACGCAUGCUUGCAUGCGUGGUAGAGGAGCGUUCUGUAGGCCGUUGAAGGGAAAGCUGAGAGGCAUCCUGGAGGUAUCAGAAGUGCGAAUGCUGACAUGAGUAACGAUAAGGGGAGUGAAAAGCUCCCCCGCCGGAAGACCAAGGUUUCCUAUCCAAUGCUAAUCAGGGUAGGGUGAGUCGGCCCCUAAGGCGAGGCUGAAGAGCGUAGUCGAUGGGAAGCAGGUUAAUAUUCCUGCACCACUCAAUAUUGCGAAGGAGGGACGGAGAAGGCUAGUCCAGCGCGGCGUUGGUUGUCCGCGUUUAAGCGUGUAGGCUUAAAUCUUAGGUAAAUCCGGGAUUUUUUAAGGCUGAGGCGUGAUGACGAGGUCCAUUAGGACUGAAGUGGUUGAUGCCAUGCUUCCAGGAAAAGCUUCUAAGCAUCAGAUAUUGAGUGACCGUACCCCAAACCGACACAGGUGGUCAGGUAGAGAAUACCAAGGCGCUUGAGAGAACUCGGGUGAAGGAACUAGGCAAAAUGGUACCGUAACUUCGGGAGAAGGUACGCCGCUGAUGGUGAUGGGACUUGCUCCCUAAGCUGUUGGCGGCCGAAGAUACCAGGUGGCUGCGACUGUUUAUUAAAAACACAGCACUGUGCAAACACGAAAGUGGACGUAUACGGUGUGACGCCUGCCCGGUGCCGGAAGGUUAAUUGAUGGGGUUAGCUUCGGCGAAGCUCUUGAUCGAAGCCCCGGUAAACGGCGGCCGUAACUAUAACGGUCCUAAGGUAGCGAAAUUCCUUGUCGGGUAAGUUCCGACCUGCACGAAUGGCGUAACGACGGCCACACUGUCUCCACCCGAGACUCAGUGAAAUUGAAAUCGCUGUUAAGAUGCAGUGUAUCCGCGGCUAGACGGAAAGACCCCGUGAACCUUUACUAUAGCUUCACAGUGAACUUUGAACCUAUUUGUGUAGGAUAGGUGGGAGGCUUUGAAACUGGGACGCUAGUCUCAGUGGAGCCAAACUUGAAAUACCACCCUGGUAUGUUUGAGGUUCUAACUCAGGUCCGUAAUCCGGAUCGAGGACACUGUGUGGUGGGUAGUUUGACUGGGGCGGUCUCCUCCCAAAGAGUAACGGAGGAGCACGAAGGUAUGCUAAUCAUGGUCGGAAAUCAUGAGGUUAGUGCAAUGGCAUAAGCAUGCUUAACUGCGAGACAGACACGUCGAGCAGAUACGAAAGUAGGUCAUAGUGAUCCGGUGGUUCUGAAUGGAAGGGCCAUCGCUCAACGGAUAAAAGGUACUCCGGGGAUAACAGGCUGAUACCGCCCAAGAGUUCACAUCGACGGCGGUGUUUGGCACCUCGAUGUCGGCUCAUCACAUCCUGGGGCUGAAGCCGGUCCCAAGGGUAUGGCUGUUCGCCAUUUAAAGUGGUACGCGAGCUGGGUUUAGAACGUCGUGAGACAGUUCGGUCCCUAUCUGCCGUGGACGUUUGAGAUUUGAGAAGAGUUGCUCCUAGUACGAGAGGACCGGAGUGAACGAACCUCUGGUGUUCCGGUUGUCACGCCAGUGGCAUUGCCGGGUAGCUACGUUCGGACAGGAUAACCGCUGAAAGCAUCUAAGCGGGAAGCCCCCUUCAAGAUGAGAUCUCACAGGACUUUAAGUCCCUAAAGAGCCGUUCAAGACUAGGACGUUGAUAGGUUGGGUGUGUAAGCACGGUAACGUGUUGAGCUAACCAAUACUAAUUGCUCGUGAGGCUUGACC
rnacentral:rRNA from 1 species